rnacentral:lncRNA from 1 species
AUAUUAUGCUAGUUUUAACAAUAAAUGUCAGAUAUUUAUCGACAAACUCCUAUUUUCCUUUCAUUACAGUUUUUCUAAAAGAGUUAACCAUAAUAUUAAUAAGAUAAUAUAAUUGAAAAAUAAUAAUUAAUAUGACAUUAAAAAUCGAAAGUAACUCUCAUUUUUUAACAAGUUUAUCUCUUGUUGUGGGACAAAUAGCUUAACAUACAUAAUUUGAAAGAUUAAUUUUUGUUAACAAAGGAAGAGUAGAGAUUACCUGAAAGUGUGAGAACAAACAAGCUGAGAUCCUUGUCGGAAAAACACAAACUAAGAUUUAUUUGUAAUAUAAAAUGUGAAAAAUGAAAUUUGAGUACCAACUACUACCAAUGGAAAAAAGGAUGGUAUAUGAGUAAAAUGUGUUUAGUAAUAUUUAGAGAGAGAAAUUACUUGAAGGAAUUUCAAGUAGAGAGAUCUUUCAAAGAUAGACCUAUAUAUCAAAGAUGAAGUUUCAUAUGGAAAAUGAGUGAUAU